CCAGCUUCGUAGGACAAUUGAGACUGAGAAGGAUAAGAACAUGCGACUGGAAUCAGACCUCAAGGUGCAGCAUCAGAAGAUGGAGAUUGAGAAGAGGAAGAACAAGGAUCUGGAAUCAG